GGUGGCGCCAAUACUGAGACGAGAGCGCUACCGAGGUGAGCACAGCCCCUGCGCAAGGAGAACGUGCAAAUUCG
rnacentral:snRNA from 1 species